CCCCCGACUGGGAGAGAAGGAGCCUCCCUCAGCCUUUGGGACCGGGGCUGCCCUGUAAGUGAGGGCCUGGCGCUGGAGUCCCGGGCACUUUGCAAUGGGAGCAGUGGCUGGGGCCCCCUGUAAGCAGGGGAAGAGCCGACUCUUGGCCGCCGCUUUGCGUGCCCAGCUCCAUUUGCCCAGGCUGCCCGACUCUGCGCCCUGCUGCAGCUCCGGCCAGACCUCCGCGGCGCGUCAGUGUGGAUCGGCUGCUGAAGAAAGAAGCGGCAGGACGUGGAGCUCCGAGGCAACUGUGGGGCAGAAGAGGAAGGAAGACGACGACUGCGGACGGGCAAAGGGAGAGGCUCCCUGGGCAAAAGCAUGUCACAUCACCGUAGAGCGUUGCCGGCACCUGCCGGCUUUGUGCUGGGCGACCUCCCUGCAACCAGGGCUCGGGUCUUUUGCUGUAGUUGGCCUUUUGCCUUGUUGCUCCUUUGGCUGCCCCGGGGAGUGUGGCCCCCUG